rnacentral:rRNA from 1 species
AGUUGGGGGCUCGCUUAUAGGGCGGGUCGCGUCGUCGCCCCGGUUUGCUGGGUGGAUUAGUGGGGAAGGGGUGAGAACACGUGAGUAACCUGCCCUUGACUCUGGGAUAAGCCUGGGAAACUGGGUCUAAUACUGGAUAUGACUUCUCAUCGCAUGGUGGGGGGUGGAAAGAUUUAUUGGUCUUGGAUGGACUCGCGGCCUAUCAGCUUGUUGGUGAGGUAAUGGCUCACCAAGGCGACGACGGGUAGCCGGCCUGAGAGGGUGACCGGCCACACUGGGACUGAGACACGGCCCAGACUCCUACGGGAGGCAGCAGUGGGGAAUAUUGCACAAUGGGCGCAAGCCUGAUGCAGCGACGCCGCGUGAGGGAUGACGGCCUUCGGGUUGUAAACCUCUUUCAGUAGGGAAGAAGCGAGAGUGACGGUACCUGCAGAAGAAGCGCCGGCUAACUACGUGCCAGCAGCCGCGGUAAUACGUAGGGCGCGAGCGUUAUCCGGAAUUAUUGGGCGUAAAGAGCUCGUAGGCGGUUUGUCGCGUCUGCCGUGAAAGUCCGGGGCUUAACUCCGGAUCUGCGGUGGGUACGGGCAGACUAGAGUGCAGUAGGGGAGACUGGAAUUCCUGGUGUAGCGGUGAAAUGCGCAGAUAUCAGGAGGAACACCGAUGGCGAAGGCAGGUCUCUGGGCUGUAACUGACGCUGAGGAGCGAAAGCAUGGGGAGCGAACAGGAUUAGAUACCCUGGUAGUCCAUGCCGUAAACGUUGGGCACUAGGUGUGGGGGACAUUCCACGUUUUCCGCGCCGUAGCUAACGCAUUAAGUGCCCCGCCUGGGGAGUACGGCCGCAAGGCUAAAACUCAAAGGAAUUGACGGGGGCCCGCACAAGCGGCGGAGCAUGCGGAUUAAUUCGAUGCAACGCGAAGAACCUUACCAAGGCUUGACAUGUUCCUGAUCGCCGUAGAGAUACGGUUUCCCCUUUGGGGCAGGUUCACAGGUGGUGCAUGGUUGUCGUCAGCUCGUGUCGUGAGAUGUUGGGUUAAGUCCCGCAACGAGCGCAACCCUCGUUCCAUGUUGCCAGCACUUCGGGUGGGGACUUCAUGGGGAG